rnacentral:lncRNA from 1 species
CCCACAUCUCCCAGCCCAUGGCAUGUUAGUACACUGUCAUCACACCCACACCCACAGUCCUCAUCCUUCAGCUGACUAGUUGUCAUUCAUCCUUCAGGGUGUGUCUCAGACAUCCUAUAUGGCACCUGGUUGAUCCCCACUUGUCUGAGAGGGUUGCUUCUCUUCUGCCCCUACAGUCCUUGUCACAGGACUUAUGACAUGGUAUUUGAAUUGCUCAAUUAGUUUUUUCUCCCCACUGCCCUGUCAACCCAUUCACAAAUGUAUCUCAAGUGUAGCUGGUGCUCAGUAUGCAUCUGGUAAGUGAAUAAAUAAACUGGAAAGAGUCAUCCUAAACAUGAGAGGGCUGCUGUCUCAGAGAUGUCAGGGGAAGAGAGACGAGUGUCUAAAGGGAGGGAUGCACAGUCACCAUAAUAGUGUUCAUGAUAGGCCUCCUAUCUCAGUCACUGUGGCUGCUAAGAACAAGGUGUCAGCAAGUUAGUUUUCAUUCUGAGGCCUCUUUUCAAGGCUUGGAGGUGGCAGCCUUCUCAAUGUGUGCUCACAUGGCGGAGAGAGAGCAAGCAAGAUCUCUGGUGUAUCUCGCAAGGACUCUCAUCCUCUUGGAUCAGGGCCCCACCCUUGUGACCUUGUUGGAUCUUAAUUAGCUCCACAAAGACCUUGUCUCCAAAUAUAGUCAUAUUGGGGAUUGGGGCUCUACAUGAAUUUCAGGGUAGACACAAAAUUAAGUCCAUAGUGCCUCCCUCAUAGCUGGGUACUCGUUGUGGUUGAUAGAGUGAGAGAGAGAGAGAGAGAGAGAGAGAUUGAUUCCUAGUUGGAAAUCAUAUAAUGAAUAAUCCACAGUGGGUGGCAUCUGCCUUGCUCUGAAUCCUGAUCCAAAGGACUUUACUGGAAUGACCCAGAUAUACCUAGCUAAAAUAAAUCAUAUGUAAUCCAGUAUUUUUUAUGACUGAUCUUGCAGAAUUUCUCCUGGAAUUCCCAUCGUGGCUCAGCAGAAAUGAAUCUGACUAGCAUUCACGAGGACGCAGGUUCAAUCCCUGGCCUCACUUAUUGGGUCAAGGAUCCAGCGUUGCCAUGAGUUGUGGUGUAGGUUGCAGAUGCAGCUCGGAUCCUGUGUUGCUGUGGCUGUGGCAUAGGCUGGCAGCUGUAGCUUCGAUUCAGCCCCUAGUCUGGGAACCUCCAUAUGCUGUAGGUGCGGCCUUAAGAGACAAACAAACAGACAAACAAAAAAAAAACAAAAAGAAAUUUCAUGAGUCAAAGAAUGUUAGGCUCAGAAAUGCGUUAGGGAGGGAAUGGAUGGAACCUGAUUUAUUUUAAAAUUAGAUUAGAUGAUUAUGUUUAUGUUGCUCUAGGUGUGGCUUUGCCUUAGGUUGGGGGCUAGCCCAGGUUUCCUAUCCAGCUUCUUAUUGGCUCUGACAUCCUCUGAUUGGAAUUUAAAAAUUCCCAUUUUCAGGACUGUUUGAAAUUCUUUCUUCUCCUUUACCUAGAAAUACAAUGUGUUGAAAAAUAAGACAUAGUCAGGAAAGAGUAUCUAUAUCAUGUUGUAGGAGAAGGCAUAGCAAAACAGAGCCUUUGCAUAAUUAGUGAAAAUAUUUAUAUUAUCUUCUGAGGCACACAGUAAUUCAUCACUGAUUAUUUUUACUUUCCUGAAUAAACCACAGUAAUAUGUAUUUUUCUCACCUAAGUGCCCUUGGUACAUAGACAGUAGAGGUUCCUUUCGUUCCUCUGUUUUGAUAAUUUUGAUAAUUUUUAACGUGUUAUAAUUACAUUCUUUAUUCCUAAAAAGUUGUUUUUUGGACCUAUACUUUUGAAUUUUGAAAAAGUGACCUAAAUAUAGAAAUAACUUUCCCUGGUUGUAAAAAUAGCCAUUGACUGGGCAAAUGGAAUAAAGCAGGGGUUGGGUGAUGGACCACUUCUUCUACUAGCAGGGAGGAAAAAGGCAUUUGAUUUUUUGAACUAUAACAUGUAUCUAGUCUUAGUAGAAAUACCUAUUUGCUUUUUUUUUUCUUUUCUUUUUUUGGCCAGUUUUAAAUGGGCAUUUCUAUAUUUCUAUAAUGUUCACUGGGAAAUUUGUUUCCCUAAGGCCGGAAGUCUGGGCCAGAGGCAAACCCUUUGAAGUUUGUCUCCUUUCUUCCUUUGUACAUUAAAAUAAAUCAAAACAAAACUCUAAUCCCUUUAUGAUACUUGACAGCCAUGGCCUCUUGCUCUGCCCUACGUCAGCAAAAUCACUCUUUCUCGCUUGAACUGGGAAUUUUUUAGGGUUGCCUGUUUACCUCCAGCAUCCUGGGGGUAGAGCUGUGGUGCAGGAGCAGUACUAGGUUCUCAGGGGUGGGGGAUGAGGAGCCUUGAAAGCCUGAGCACAGAUUCUGAUAUUUGGGCUCAGAGUUUGCACCAUUUGCUUUCACUUUCACUGAAGGGGCUCCUCUGUUUGUCUGGGGCUCCCUUUCCAAUCUUGCUUGUCCCUUAAGCUCUUUAAUCAUGGACUUGAUACUGGGUGGGAGGUGGGUGGGGGGGCUCCAAGAUUGUUCUCCAUAUCGAAUACAUAACUCAAAUUCUUUGGGUGAUUUGACCUGUAAAUAUGAGGAAUCUGGGUGGCAAAGCAACGUAUGGCCACUGAGAUUCUUUCCAUGGCACCAGUGCUGAAUUCCAUACGUGUGAGGAGUUUAAGCCAGGCCACAGCGGAAGCUGCAUUGAAAUACCCCCCCCCCCAGCUUUUUGAAAUGAGUUUAUGUUUUAAUAUUUUAAACACAGCCUUUUUUUCCAUAGCCAAACUCAAGUAUAGAACUUGACUUAAAAUCAGGGUAUCCGCCCUGUUUUGUGAAAGCAAUGAAGGAGAGUGCUGGGGAAAAAAUUCUGGAAGAGUUUUUCUGUAUAGGGAAGAACUGUUGGCAACCAUUUCUUCAUGAUCAUCCUCGAGUUUUCAGAUUUUGUGAGACAAACACCCUCAUGCCAUUGAAACAUCGAAACAUUUAAAUAACACCUUCAAGGGAAAAACAACAACGCCUUGUUUAACAGUAGUUUAUUUAGAGGCUGCACAAACAACAAAAUCAUGUUAUAGGUUAAAACAAAAGCCACAGCAACCCACCCUAUCAGGCCUUUCCUUUUGGGGGAAGCAGGCCAGAUGUUUAAACAAUAUUGUGGGUGAUGUGCAUGCCGCAGCAUUUGGAGACCUUGGGAAAGAAAUCAUGUCGGCACCCCUAGCGUUUCACAGUUUUAGACCCCUGACCUAGAAACAGUUUAAACAGAUGUUUAGUUCAAGGAAUUUAUGUUGACAUUGAAUACCCCCGCCCCCUUUGGAAAUGGCUGCCUCUAAAAUUCGAGCUUUUUUUCUUUUCUUUUUUUUUUUAAUACCAGCGAAAGGACCAGAGAAACAACGACAUCUCACAACUUGAUAGUUUCCAUGUUGCAGGUGUUCUGGUGCAACAGGAACAAAACAAACAAACAGUGGCCUGAUCAGCCACUGCUGUUCACGUGUGUGAACAUCUUUUUAGCCCCCGCUCUCAGUUCUGCGAAUGGCCUAAAUUGUGGCUUUUCUUCUUCUCCUUGUCUCUAACCCUCCUUCCCCCUCUCCUGCACCCCCCCCCAUCUCUUUCUACCCCCUUCUCCCAGAAAUGAUUCCUCCCAACUUUGAUCCUGGUGUGUGGAGUUCAUUCCACGACUUGGGUCAGUCAGAAAUGGCUCAUUGCAUCAUAGCUCCCUUUAUGAAAGUGUUUAUUUCAUAUCUGAAAUGUUUCCAUGUGCAUUCGCUCUGCUUUGACUUGCAGAAGGAGAAAGAAAGUAGUUUUACUGGAGGCAAAACAGCCACCUGUGAAAACUAAUUGCGUAGGUAGAGGUUUGAUGGUAUCUCUGGGAGGGAUCCAGCAGGAAGAAAGUAAAUGUUCUUCAUCUACAAGGAAAUCACCUGUGUGCCAGACUGACCCUCUGCAUCAAAGCCAGGGUUGAAAUAUGCUAUCAAAUCAGUGGCCUGUGUUUAGGAGGCUGGGGUGGGGAGGGUGACAAGAGGGCGUGGCCCUGGAAGGCAGGUGCGGUCCACUGAGGUGAACUGAGGAGAUAUAGAAAAAAAUGACGAGUGUGAUAAAAGCCACUAAACCUUGUCAUUAAGGGCUGACAUGUGAUAUGAAUGGUCUGUAGUUACUUUCAAACAAAAGUUUGAGAUGUGGCUGCUUUUGAGUUCCUUUUUUCCUCCCCAUCAUCAAGGUUUCUUUUUAGUCUUAAGUUCUGCUCUCUCACCCGCCCACUUUCCUCUCCUUGAUCCCACCAAUCUAGGAAACCCAAGUGUUCCUUGCCCUUAAAAGGGCAAAAUGUACUGUGAUGGAGAAGCAGGGUCAGUGAGGCAGGCUGCCCUUUGUCACCCUCUGGGAGCUCUCUGAGCUGAUUGUCCACAAGUUUAGAAAGGGCAGAUCCCAUGAGGCUGCAGUGUAUCCCACCAAUGAGUGUGUUAUCUCUGUCUGAAAUCAACCAAUCUGGGACUGGUCUUCCAGAUGGCGGGAUCUGAGUUCUCCUGCCAGAGUUUACAUUUCGUUGGUCACUCUAGAUGGAAAUCAGCUAGGCUUGGUACUAGCUGUUCUCCACUCACACACCUACAUGUUGCCUUAGCUGUGCAGCCAGAAAGGUUUGUCAGCGUGUAUCUGCAUGUUAGUGACUUUUCUAAAUGGCUGUCUUCCAUGAGAAAUCAAAACUCUAGAGAAGAGGGGAAAAUCCCUAGUAUUUGAAGCCCUGUGAGAUUUAGGGAAAAGUUAGACCAUCCUUCUACGAGCCCAAUAAAAAAAAAUUUUUUUUUAGAAAACGACAAGGGAGUUUUACAGAAGCCACAUAAAUUAAAUAGGAACAUGGAUCGAAAGGACAUUUACAUGAUUUUUUAAAAGAAGAAUUUUUGUAUGAAAGACUUUGGCCAUAUUUCUUAAUGUCUGGGGUGAUACGUGGUCAACCAUUAGUUGGGUCCUGGGUGCAAUCACAUGGAUGCUGAGCUCCCAGGGGAGCUGUUCAGGAGGAGGCCAGAGACGCUGUUGGAGGCUUCAUUGCUUUUUGUUUUCACUGUCUGGAAAGUAGCUGGAUCCAUGGCUCUCGAGUCCAUGGGUCCUCACGUACUUCAGUGCACUUUGACUUGUUCCUACCUGUUUUCCUUACUCCAGUGUCUUGUGAUUCCUCUCAGUAUCCGGUGGUUCUGUCCUGUCCCUGUUCAUGAGAGUGCUCCCUCAGAGCCUCCUCCUUUAAACUGCCAUCAGAAGCCAUUCCACAGAAGCUAAACUCAAACCCAUGUGAACCUGUCUGGAGGUGAUAUUGGAUGCCUAGUUUUCAAAUUCAACCCCAGUCAACUAAAGCGCCCUGUUUCCAUCUUUCCAUUCAGACAGAAGAGCCUUCUAAUCAUAAUAUAUCACAGUGCCCCUGGGCCUUUUUUUCUGGAGCCUAAGGCAGCAAGCCCCCACUUGUGUGAGUAAUUUCUCCUCUAUCAUAUAUAAGGUAGGAUUCUGUUCAGGGGCCAUUUAUGGUCACGUCCAGUUUAUUUCCAUGAUGCCUCAAACUUAGACCAUUUUGAUAUAGGGUAGAUCCUUGACAUUUAUGAGAGAUUUUUCCAAAGAUGAUCAUGAAGUUUACAUCUAAAUUUACACAUAGCCUUUUGAAAUAUAAUUUCUUCCCCAGGUAUCUGUAUUUGGGCAAGAACCACCACUUCUGUAAGCCUUUUCACUUUCUCUUCACUCCCAUCACCAUCACGAGUAAUUGGCUUUUCUUUCAGCGGCCUUUUAUUUUUUAAACAAAGAAACAGUGUUAUCGCUUCAUGAGCUUUCUAUGUAACAAUGAAUAGAGAGGGAACAACAAAAUCACUUUGAGAUGUGGCUGUUGAAUAGUUGGCCGGGUUCAUACAAUACCUAAGUGAUUCUCUUCAGUCUUGCAUGCCCAUGGUUCAAAUUUGUCCUCAGCAAAAUGACAAAUAUGAUUAUAGAACUCUCCUUCCCUCCUUACAGAACUUUUAUUAAUAUUUCCUGCACCUUAGAAUGUGGUUUGGGGAAACACCGGAAUUGUGUAGGAGCCCCUGAGUGAAAGCAGAUCCUAGAAAGAAGGUAUAUUGAAAAGAGCCAGGGAUGAUAUGUUUGUUAGUCCCGGGGCUCAGUUUCAAGUUGAGCAAAUGUGUGUGUUUGUGUGAAUAUGCAUGUAGACAGGUGCAUUUGUGUCUAUUAUUGUUAUAGUCUUUCCAUGUGACAUGCUUUAAAAUGGAAUGACAUCCUUACUAACCUGAUUUAUGAAGCUAUUGUGUAAAACUUUCCAAAAAAAGCAUUUAGGAAAUGACGGUGUAGUAGAAAAGUAAACAGAUGAAAUGGUGGGACUAUUUCUCAAAGCAGUUUCCUAAUUCAUAUUCGAUGUUCAGCAAAAUCUCACCAUAAGACAUCCAGGGCAACCUAAAAAAUAUAUUGCUGGUAGCAGCUGCAACAGAAAGAGAAUUCACGAGGGCUGUAAUAGUGAGACCUCAUCAAGCUUCAUCCAAGAAGUAUGGGCUACUUUUAUGCCAGCUCCUUGCCUUGUGGCUGAAGAGGGCUCUGGCUCAGAGAGCUGAUCUGGAAAGGCAGCCCAGGGCUACAUACCCUAGAUGAGUAGAAUAAUCUUAGAUACUUACACGCCAUCCUAUUCUCACCAGCAUAGCUCUUAGACUGGAAGGGCCAAAUUAUUUAGCAAAAUUCUUAAAGCAUUGUUCCCUUACCAAUAAGCAUCCAAGGUUUAACAGCCUGUUGAUUAAAUUGCAUGUUGGAAUCAAUUGCCCUGUUAGAUCAGAGCAGUUGUAAAAGUAGAUCUGAAUGAAAGUUCUCAGUAGUGAUAAGCGGUACUUUUGCUUCCCCUGAAUUUAUAUUCUAAAAUGAGUCAUCAAAGAGGUUCUUUUACAGCUUACUCUGUCCAUAAAAGAGCACUCAAGAUGCUUGACAACAACAGCCACCACCACUAAAAACGUAAAUGGAAG